rnacentral:lncRNA from 1 species
AUUUAUAGCCAUUAGAGACUAUAAUUAACCGACCAGCUGUGUGUUAUCUGCCCGGUGGGAGCAGCGCUGAGAGGCAGCCAGCUCCAACGGGCCAUGAGCUGCCCCAUCCCUGCUAGCAGCCCUGCUCGUUUGGCAUCCCUGAAGGAUUUUGCUCUGCUUCGGGCUUGGGGCUUUUCCAUUUAUCUCCUCCUUCCCUAACGUUUGGCUCAGCCGGCUCUCUCUGACUCUCCCUACUCCCCCGUAUCUCCUCCUACAAGGUCACAAACUCGGAUUUACGCUCGGAGUUCACAUGGCUGGGCAGACCAGUUUGGACCAGCUCGUUAUCAACGCAUUCCCAGCCCCCAGCCAGAGCCACAGCUACGGGCAGAGCGGAGACGAAGCAGAUGGUUGUUAAGCAUCGGGAAAACCAUGCGUCGGCCCGCGCCUGGCCCAGGUGCCUGCGCCUAGCACGGACACAUCUGCCUGGUGCUAACAACCUCGGGGACGCCACUCCCGGUGGAAAUGCAGCCGGAGGGGGCUGAGGAGAGGCUGUAGGCGCCCCGGCGGAGCUGCUUUGUGCCUGGUAAAACCUCGGAUCGCUGCCUGGUGCUGCGUGGGGGGCUGGCCAUGCUGCCAGCAGACCCCAAACCCAGCGGCGGUGCCAGGAGGUGAGCGGUCCCCCGGUGCCACGGCGUCCCCGAGCGGCUCUCGGUGAACCUCUCGCUGCUCCCGGUGUCCUCAGAGGGGCAGAGGCCAGGCCGACGUCCCAGCACGAUGUUCUCCAACAGGUUCCACAGGAGGGGGUUCCAGGAUGCUCCCUGGGAGGAGGGGCCGUGGCAGCCCAGACCCUACGGUGCCGGCCCCCAGGACAACCGGUACAAGCCGUCCUGGGAGCACCAGCCCUGGAGAGGCAGGCACAACAGGCACCCGGUAAGGGGGUUUGUUGGGGUUUGUGGGGUGCUUUUGGGGUUUGUGGGG